GCGGACGGGUGAGUAAUGUCUGGGAAACUGCCUGAUGGAGGGGGAUAACUACUGGAAACGGUAGCUAAUACCGCAUAACGUCGCAAGACCAAAGAGGGGACCUUCGGGCCUCUUGCCAUCGGAUGUGCCCAGAUGGGAUUAGCUAGUAGGUGGGGUAACGGCUCACCUAGGCGACGAUCCCUAGCUGGUCUGAGAGGAUGACCAGCCACACUGGAACUGAGACACGGUCCAGACUCCUACGGGAGGCAGCAUG
rnacentral:rRNA from 1 species